rnacentral:rRNA from 1 species
GGGUGAGUAACACGUGAGUAACCUGCCCCAGGCUUUGGGAUAACCCCGGGAAACCGGGGCUAAUACCGGAUAUUACUGGCUGCCGCAUGGUGGUUGGUGGAAAGAUUUUUCGGCUUGGGAUGGACUCGCGGCCUAUCAGCUUGUUGGUGGGGUAAUGGCCUACCAAGGCGGCGACGGGUAGCCGGCCUGAGAGGGCGACCGGCCACACUGGGACUGAGACACGGCCCAGACUCCUACGGGAGGCAGCAGUGGGGAAUCUUGCACAAUGGGCGGAAGCCUGAUGCAGCGACGCCGCGUGAGGGAUGACGGCCUUCGGGUUGUAAACCUCUUUCAGCAGGGACGAAGCGUUUGUGACGGUACCUGCAGAAGAAGCGCCGGCCAACUACGUGCCAGCAGCCGCGGUAAGACGUAGGGCGCGAGCGUUGUCCGGAUUUAUUGGGCGUAAAGAGCUCGUAGGCGGCUUGUCGCGUCGACUGUGAAAACCCGUGGCUCAACUGCGGGCUUGCAGUCGAUACGGGCAGGCUAGAGUUCGGUAGGGGAGACUGGAAUUCCUGGUGUAGCGGUGAAAUGCGCAGAUAUCA